GCCUCGCACUUGCCAGGCAGGCACUUAUAUAGUGAGUGGUUGAUGCCAACUGAAGGAAGUUAGUCACGUAAAACUAUCUAUUACUUUUUAAAGUGUUUAAAUCUGGUAGCUUUGGAACUGGCCGUUGAAAGAUGGAUCAUUAAGAGUCUGUUUUUGCUAUCAGUGGUGUUGUAUUCUCUAUUAUCACUAUUAAUUACUAUUUCUAAACUACAUAGUCUGUGACAGUUUAUCUCCUUGAAUCUUAAGAAUACUGAUCUGAAGCAGAUAUUACCUCCAUCUUAUGCCAGAGCAGAAUGAAGCAUAGGUAACCAAAACUAUGUGCCUGUGGUCCUAUAUUAGUAAGUAGGAGGUCAUUUUUUUCUUCCUUUAUACAUUGCAGUACAUUUAUGAAACAAGAAAUGCAUAAGACAACUUCAUGUGACACUGUUUCAAAGUCCAAAGGAAAUAAAAAUAUGCAAACUUACAGAUAUUAGUACUGUACUUCCUUCUAAAUACUUGAGCUUUCAUUGAUUAGAGUUCAAUAUUUUUUAUAUAUUUGAUGUGAAACAUGCACUUAUAAUAUAAAUUCUUAAGUUCACAUUUGCUGAGCCUUUGAAAAGUGCAUACCUGUGUAACCAAACUACAUCACAAUACAAAACAUAACCAUGAAGCUAGAACUUUCCUUCAUUCUCCUAAUUAACCCUCAUCCACACUCCGAUCCAAGAAAAACACUGUUGAUUUUCUUCCACCUUAGGUUUCAUACAAAUACAGUCUUACAAUGAAUAUUCUUUUAUGUCUCACUUCCUACACCCAGCAUACAUCUCUAGAUAUCCAUAUUCAACUUUUAUGAAAAAUAUGCCAAACAAAAGUUUGACCAGUGGUAGUUCAGUAAAAAGAAAUUAUUGUAAACUAUUAAAUCCCAUCGUUUUCAGUUUCCCUUCCAAACUUGAAUGCACUGGUAACUCAUUUGUGCCCUGAAUGUUUCGUUAGGAAUUGGAAAUUUGUUUAUUUUUUUCCUUGACUUCAUUCUGACCCUAAAAGAAAUAAUUAGGCUACUCUGCUUCUUAGGCAUUCUAUCUCUAAAUCUUUCUGUGCCUCCUGUGUUUUUAAGCAGUAGUGUACGUCAUUAAAAUGUAAAAGACCCUCAGGUGCUAGAUACAUUUUUAGUUUAUGGAUCUCAAAAACUCAAAUAAGCAGUCAGUGACUAUUUUUAUUUCCAAAAGAAGAGUGAGAUUGGAGGGGAUGGCAAAGGAGAAAAACAUACUGUGAUAAAUUAAAUUGAGCCUGAUUCUCUUCUGGCUUUAUUUAAUCUUUCCUCACUGUAAUAUAAAAAAUUCAGAAGAAAAUAUUCUAUUUCCAGUAGGUCCUUUAGCCAGGCAAGAAAAUAAGUUUCCAGUUCUUUCUUCUACAAAACUAUGUAAGUUGGGCUGGAGAUUUAGCUCAGUGGUUUUGCUGCCUGCUGCACAAGCGCAAGGACCCGAGUUCGAUCCCCAGUACCAAAAAAAAAAAAAAACUAUGUAAGUAUUCAAUCCCAUAAUUUACCACAGCCCAGCAUAAAGUUACAGUUGGAGAACAAUCUAAGUAAACAUUACCUCUUUAUAAGAAAAAUGGAGUAGUUGGCAUAUCUAAUUCAUUAGGUAGGAGCUCUAGUGCAGGCUUCUGUUGAGUAUAUGGCAAACCGUGUUUUAUUUGUUAAUAUGGAGGAUCUAUGUUUACAUUUUACAGUAUUACUUUGCAGUCAAAUAUUUAGCGAGAUCUUGCUUAAGUAGUGUACUUGUAUUACACUUUGACUUCUCAAAAUGUGAAUGAUUGCUUACUCUAGACUGGUUAUUUGUUUCUUUUACUCUUGACUUGUUGGUUGUCUUUUAAUAUUUACUGUAAAUGUUUUCAGUAUUGAAGUGGAAGAUGAAUCAGUAAUUCUUCCAACAGAAGCCUGUUUUCCCCAAUAUUCCACAGUUCCAGGAUGAUGUACAGUGGUUUAAAUCUGCCUUCAACCAUUAUAUAAGGCAUUUGGUGGGCUGUCACCCUAGCAACCCAUACAUUCUGGUCCUAGAUGAUCUUAUUGAAUAAUUCAGUAUUUUAUUUCAUUCCUUUUUCUGAAAUUCCUAUUA